rnacentral:rRNA from 1 species
UGCAUGCUUUAUACAUGCAAGUCGAACGAAGGCCCUAGCUUGCUAGGUUUCCUUAGUGGCGCACGGGUGAGUAACACGUGGGAACAUACCUUAUAGUACGGAAUAACUGCGGGAAACUGUAGCUAAUACCGUAUACUCCAGUAAUGGGAAAGAUUUAUCGCUAUAAGAUUGGCCCGCGCAAGAUUAGCUUGUUGGUGAGGUAAAAGCUCACCAAGGCUUCGAUCUUUAGCUGGUUUGAGAGGAUGAUCAGCCACACUGGGACUGAGACACGGCCCAGACUCCUACGGGAGGCAGCAGUAGGGAAUAUUGGACAAUGGGGGCAACCCUGAUCCAGCAAUGCAGCGUGAGUGACGAAGGCCUUAGGGUUGUAAAACUCUUUCAUCGGUGAGGAUAAUGACAGUAGCCGAAGAAGAAGGACCGGC